rnacentral:misc_RNA from 1 species
GAUGAAGAACGCAGCGAAAUGCGAUAAGUAGUGUGAAUUGCAGAAUUCAGUGAAUCAUCGAAUCUUUGAACGCACAUUGCGCCUCCUGGUAUUCCGGGAGGCAUGCCUGUUCGAGCGUCAUUAAAAUCACUCAAGCUUAGGUUUACCUAUUGCUUGGUCUUGGAGAUGGAAGCCAAUUCAUUGGAAUCCUCUUCGAAAUCCAAUGGCGAAGACCCUUGCUCUCCCAAGUGUAGUAAUAACUUAUGUCACUGAAGGAAGCGAGAAAUCUUCCGCCGUAACCCCCAUAUUUUCUAUGAUUGACCUCGGAUCAGGUAGGGAUACACGCUGAACUUAAGCAUAUCAAUAAGCGGAGGA